UACAGAGGGGGCAAGCGUUGUUCGGAAUUACUGGGCGUAAAGGGCGCGUAGGCGGCCCGCUAAGUCGAACGUGAAAUCCCCGAGCUCAACUCGGGAACUGCGUCCGAUACUGGUGGGCUUGAAUCCGGGAGAGGGAUGCGGAAUUCCAGGUGUAGCGGUGAAAUGCGUAGAUAUCAGGAGGAACACCCGUGGUGUAGACGGCCUGCUGGACGGUCACUGACGCUGAGGCACGAAAGCGUGGGGAGCAAACAGG
rnacentral:rRNA from 1 species